rnacentral:rRNA from 1 species
UACAGAGGUGGCGAGCGUUGUUCGGAUUUACUGGGCGUAAAGGGUGCGUAGGUGGUUUUGUAUGUCGAAUGUGAAAUCCCACCGCUUAACGGUGGACGGUCAUUCGAAACUGCAAGGCUAGAGUACAGGAGAGGAGAGCGGAAUUCUUGGAGUAGCGGUGAAAUGCGUUGAUAUCAAGAAGAACACCGGUGGCGAAGGCGGCUCUCUGGAAUGAUACUGACACUGAGGCACGAAAGCUGGGGGAGCAAACAGG